rnacentral:rRNA from 1 species
AAGCACUUUGCUUAGAUUCUUCGGAUGAAGAGGAUUGUGACUGAGCGGCGGACGGGUGAGUAACGCGUGGGUAACCUGCCUCAUACAGGGGGAUAACAGUUAGAAAUGACUGCUAAUACCGCAUAAGACCAUAGCACCGCAUGGUGCGGGGGUAAAAACUCCGGUGGUAUGAGAUGGACCCGCGUCUGAUUAGCUAGUUGGUAAGGUAACGGCUUACCAAGGCGACGAUCAGUAGCCGACCUGAGAGGGUGACCGGCCACAUUGGGACUGAGACACGGCCCAAACUCCUACGGGAGGCAGCAGUGGGGAAUAUUGCACAAUGGGGGAAACCCUGAUGCAGCGACGCCGCGUGAGCGAAGAAGUAUUUCGGUAUGUAAAGCUCUAUCAGCAGGGAAGAAAAUGACGGUACCUGACUAAGAAGCACCGGCUAAAUACGUGCCAGCAGCCGCGGUAAUACGUAUGGUGCAAGCGUUAUCCGGAUUUACUGGGUGUAAAGGGAGCGUAGACGGAUGGGCAAGUCUGAUGUGAAAACCCGGGGCUCAACCCCGGGACUGCAUUGGAAACUGUUCAUCUAGAGUGCUGGAGAGGUAAGUGGAAUUCCUAGUGUAGCGGUGAAAUGCGUAGAUAUUAGGAGGAACACCAGUGGCGAAG